GACGAACGCUGGCGGCGUGCCUAAUACAUGCAAGUAGAACGCUGAAGAGAGGAGCUUGCUCUUCUUGGAUGAGUUGCGAACGGGUGAGUAACGCGUAGGUAACCUGCCUGGUAGCGGGGGAUAACUAUUGGAAACGAUAGCUAAUACCGCAUAACAUUGAUUAUUGCAUGAUAAUUAAUUGAAAGAUGCAACUGCAUCACUACCAGAUGGACCUGCGCUGUAUUAGCUAGUUGGUGAGGUAACGGCUCACCAAGGCGACGAUACAUAGCCGACCUGAGAGGGUGAUCGGCCACACUGGGACUGAGACACGGCCCAGACUCCUACGGGAGGCAGCAGUAGGGAAUCUUCGGCAAUGGGGGGAACCCUGACCGAGCAACGCCGCGUGAGUGAAGAAGGUUUUCGGAUCGUAAAGCUCUGUUGUAAGAGAAGAACGGGUGUGAGAGUGGAAAGUUCACACUGUGACGGUAGCUUACCAGAAAGGGACGGCUAACUACGUG
rnacentral:rRNA from 1 species